rnacentral:rRNA from 1 species
GUAACAAGGUUUCCGUAGGUGAACCUGCGGAAGGAUCAUUACAGAGUUAGGGUCCUCUGGGCCCGAUCUCCCAACCCAUUGUUUACUUGACCUAUGUUGCUUCGGCGAGCCCGCCCUUGUCGGCCGCCGGAGGACCGUGACACGUCCUCUGGCCCGUGCUCGUCGGUGGCCAACUCAUAUAAAUUCUUAACUAAACGUGUAUUUAUCUGAGUACUAUGUAUUAAUAAAAGCAAAACUUUCAACAACGGAUCUCUUGGUUCUGGCAUCGAUGAAGAACGCAGCGAAAUGCGAUAAGUAAUGCGAAUUGCAGAAUUCCAGUGAGUCAUCGAAUCUUUGAACGCACAUUGCGCCCUUUGGUAUUCCGAAGGGCAUGCCUGUUCGAGCGUCAUUAUCACCCCUCAAGCCCCCCGGCUUGGUGUUGGACGGUCGGUGAAAGGAGUCUUUCACCCCUCCCAAAGACAAUGACGGCGGCCUCGUUGGACCCCCGGUACACUGAGUUCUUCACGGGACACGUACUGGAUAUAAGGGUUCACGGGCACGGUCUCCCUCCCACUCGGGAGAAUCUUUUUUUACAAGGUUGACCUCGGAUCAGGUAGGAAUACCCGCUGAACUUAAGCAUAUCAA